GCCGGGCAUGGUGGCUCAUGCCUGUAAUCCCAGGAUUUUGGGAGGCCGAGGUGGGCGAAUCACUUGAGGUCGGGAGUUCAAGACAAGCCUGACCAACAUAGAGAAACCCCAUCUCUA
ensembl:misc_RNA Metazoa_SRP Metazoan signal recognition particle RNA